UCAACAUGGGAUCAACUGUGGUGGUUCAAGCAGUUCCUCGGAUUACAGAUUCUGUGUCAAACUCUGUUUGUUAAUGACAGUGUCUGAAUAUGACCGUUUGACAGGCUAAUAGCGGUUGAGUGUUGGAGCUACCUAGAUGCCUAGAAGAACUCGCUGGCAAGCAAUGCUUCUUUCAUGAUUCAAGUGAAACCAUACAAUUUCACUCCCAACCAUGGCACCUUCACGUACGAUGUCUGCAACUUCUGAGGACGUGUCUGUGAAACUCCUUUUUGUGCACUACGUGUCUGUGAAACUCAUUCAGAGAUAAACUAAGCUUAGUAAAGAAAACAUCUUCAACAGCAGUGAUUGAAAUAACACAUCUACUGAUUAGUUAUAGGUUGAAAGCAGCAACACAACUCCACAAGCGGCAUGGCAGAUUGCACAACCACCUGCUUCUGACACCAACCCGAUGGAUGGGCUACAAAAGGGAUGGACGUUGAUCAACCAAGACCACCCAACUUUGGAGAUGAGGAGAAGAGCCGCAAACGCCCCUGGAGUGAUUGUUGGAAGUACUACAAUUCGUCUUUCCCACUAAGAUUUCUUUUCCUACAUUACAAGCUCUACGCAAUUGCUCUUUUCCGUCGUUUGUGUUUUUCCUAUUUUCUUUUUAAAAUUUCCUGCAACAAGCUCCAUCUGAGAACAGUGUUAUUUUAAUUUAAAUUAAAGGAAGUUUGACG
rnacentral:lncRNA from 1 species